GAUCUUUAUUUUUAUUUUUUAUAAAUUAAAAAGAUUAAAAAAUUUUAUAUUUUAAUUAAAAAUUUUACUGGGGUGGUAUUAAAAUUUAAAGAACUUUUAUUAUUUUUUACAUUAAUAUAUGAAUUAUUGAUCCAAUUAUAUUGAUUAAAAAAUUAAGUUACCUUAGGGAUAACAGCGUAAUUUUUUUUUAGAGUUCAUAUCGACAAAAAAGAUUGC
rnacentral:rRNA from 1 species